CCCUUAGACGUUCUGGGCCGCACGCGCGCUACACUGACCAGUGCAACAAGCAACCGUCCUUGGCCGACAGGCCCGGGCAAUCUUUGAACGCUGGUCGUGAUGGGGAUAGACUUUUGCAAUUUUUGGUCUUCAACGAGGAAUUCCUAGUAAACGCAAGUCAUCAACUUGCAUUGAUUACGUCCCUGCCCUUUGUACACACCGCCCGUCGCACCUACCGAUUGAAUGGUCCGGUGAAGCCUCCGGAUUGGCGCGCACCUCGGUGCCGCCGAGAAGUUGGCUAAACCUUACCAUUUAGAGGAAGGUGAAGUCGUAACA
rnacentral:rRNA from 1 species